UACAGAGGUCUCAAGCGUUGUUCGGAUUCAUUGGGCGUAAAGGGUGUGUAGGUGGCGCGCUAAGUCGGGUGUGAAAUUUCGGAGCUUAACUCCGAAACUGCAUUCGAUACUGCCGUGCUUGAGGACUGGAGAGGAGACUGGAAUUUACGGUGUAGCGGUGAAAUGCGUAGAUAUCGCAAGGAAGACCAGUGGCGAAGGCGGGUCUCUGGACAGUUCCUGACGCUGAGGCACGAAGGUCAGGGGAGCAAACGGG
rnacentral:rRNA from 1 species